CACGUAGGCACCAAGCGUUGUCCGGAUUUAUUGGGCGUAAAGAGCUCGUAGGCGGUUCGGUAAGUCGGGUGUGAAAACUCUGGGCUCAACCCAGAGCCGCCACCCGAUACUGCUGUGACUUGAGUGCGGUAGGGGAGCGGGGAAUUCCUGGUGUAGCGGUGAAAUGCGCAGAUAUCAGGAGGAACACCGGUGGCGAAGGUGGGUCUCUGGGCCGAUACUGACGCUGAGGAGCGAAAGCGUGGGGAGCGAACAGG
rnacentral:rRNA from 1 species